ensembl:lncRNA
CUUUUUUUCCCUUUUCCCCCGAAGAAAAGUUUUCAGCUAUGUUUGUUGGGGGAGGUUAACAUCUUUUUUUUCUCUUUGUCUGUAUGCCUUGUGAGGAACAAUUGCAGAAUAUGCGAUGUUCCUGCUGUUCCUGGGCACUUUGGUUGUUGCACGCAUACAGGUGUGUGAAAAGCUAUCCAUAACUAAGGAAGGAAAGGAAGGAAAAGAAGGAUGAAAAGGAAGGAAGGAAAGAAAGAAGGAAGGAAGGAAGGAAUGAAGGAAGGAAGGAAGGAAAGAAAGAAAGAAAGAAAGAAGGAAGGAAAGGUUAUGACAGGAAAAUAUCUUUUUUCGGGGUUUUUGUUGUUGUUGUUUCCUGCUUUGCUUAGCAGGCAAGCUGUGUGUGGCUGUGUCUUAUCGGUUCAUGGACAGUACAAACACAUAAAUCCUUUCGACAAAAGUAAGAGGGAGAUUAAUUCUGCAUUGAAAUGGGUAAUACUUUAAUGAGCAGAAGAUGGCCUUUUUUUCCCACCAGGACCCAUCUCACAGACACACCAAAUGCCCCAUGCUCACAGCUCCCAGUCCACUCUUUGCUUUUGCUUUCACACGAUUAAACAAUUACUGAUUCCAUAGUUAUAAAAUGCUUCUGUAUGCCAAUACCCUCUGCUUUAGCCUUCGUUCAGCAGAAGCAUAAAGAUAGAUGACAAAUGAUUUGACAUCAAACUGUUUUGACUGCAGUAUUUAGGGGGGGAAAAAAUGGUAUAUAGGCACUGCAAGGGUCUGCAGCUGCCUCUGACAAGCUGCUGUAGCAGCUUCUGGAUCUCCAGCUUCACAGCGCUAAUCGGUAUUUAACAGACACUUUACAGCAUGUACUUGCUUGAUAGUUGCUUAGAUUUUCAGUGUAUUGGAUAUACUGUGCCGCGGUUGCUACGUUGAUUGAUCACGUCCCUAAAAAUAAUUAAACCAAGCACAGCUCCAGGCAUUGUCUCAGGGAGAAGUGAUAAAUCUGUAGAUUUUCUUUUCGUACUGAUUUCCUUUAAAAAUAUACAUAGUGUUUCUGUCAUUAUUCAGCAAUACUUACUGUCUUAAAUAGAUACAAAUGACUCCGGGGAAGAAGCUCAUCUGCAUUACUCAUCAUCUGUGCGUUCCAGUGAUGGCAUGGCAGGAAUGAAACCAGCUAAGAUGAAACUGCCUGAUGAUCAAUAAGAACACUCCAUGUGUGUGUAAAAGGAGAAGACUGGCAUGAACCCUGCAGAACUCGCUCGGCAACAGGAAACGGAACAGUGAAGUAUUCUGGGAUCUGUAGUUCAUUCUUUCUCUUCUGAGAACCAGACAUCUGGAACAAUCGGCAAUCCAUGGAAUGGCAGCAUUAACUCUUUAACUCCCAGUGCACUACAUGAUGUUAUGAUGUGAAAUAUCAAUAAUGGAAAUCAUAAAACCAUGACACAUUGAAUUCCUCUGUGUGGAAAAAAUGGCGCCUGUUGAUGUUAGUCAACACUUGCUUAUGGAGAUGAAAUGUGGCUGUGAGCACAGAGAGUUGGUGAGUGAUUUGUUUCAGCAGUGGCAAUAGCAAUAUGAAAGACAAGUCCCAGGCAGCCAUGCACAGCUGUCA